CAGCACCACAGCAGAGACAAACACACUAUUUAUCAGAGUUGUGAGAGGAAGGAGGGAGGGAUUAAGGGAGGAGCAAAACUGUGACUCAAGUACAGAAAAGACACAAACUUUCACAGUGGUGUUUCAUACAAAAACCAGACAGAUUCUCUUUAUCUUUAAGAUGCUGUCAGUGAACUUCAGUCUGUUUGUGACUUUGUUUCUGCUCACAAUAAGAGGUGUCAGCUGUGAAGAACUCACUCCAGAUAAUGAUGAAGAGUCCAGUUUAGAAGGCAGCACUGUUACUCUGUCCUACACAUACUCCAAAAAAGCAACUAGUGGUGAUUAUUUCUUCUGGUAUCGACAAUAUACAGGAAAACCACCAGAGUUCCUCAUCUCUCAUUCAGGAACAGGAACAUUGAUAAAUAAUCUAAUCCCGGGACUGCAGAUUAAAGUGGAGCAAAACCAAAUCAGUCUGCAGAUCUCCUCUGCUGCAGUGACAGACUCUGCUCUGUACUACUGUGCUGUGAAGCCCACAGUGACAGGAAACACCAAGACUCUGUACAAAAACCUUUGGAGCAAAGACAACAGAAUACUCCACAACGUCCACUAGAGGGAGUCACACACUGUUAACCUUCAAUGUAUUUUAUGAUGCAGUCUGGAUUAUUUGUAGUGGUGAUAGAAACAACAGAAAAUUAAGCACUAAAGGUAAAACAGACUGAGGGAAAGUGUUGUUUCAUACCACACAAACUCUGAUGAUAAUGAGGUGUUAAUUUAUAGGAGGAUAUAAUUUAUAUGAACAAUACAUCUUCAUAAUCGAGUGUAACAGCAAAUCCUCUAUGUAACAUGUAAUAGAGCUCAAAUUAAACUGUGUAGGUCACUUGUUUUUGUGAGGCCCUCUCUUACAUAUUCAUAACUGCCUUGUGUUGGUAAUUCAUAUCAUUUGUCCAGUUCCAGGUAUAAUUUCAUGGUGUUGAGCUUCCUCUGGUGGUCAUUGUUAGGUUACAUGAAGUCCAUUGCACCAGUCUCCAUUUUAGUUACAGCGUAUCUGAAGCUAGUGUGCAGUUCAGCAUUUUCUCUCGGUGAAGUUUUGAGAAUAAAUCCCUGUGACUAUCACGUAACUUGAUUUGUUGUAUAUUAAUGAUAGAUGGAUGACAAAUGAUGCUGUUUAGUUAGCUGUAUCCUGUCUGGUUAUCUAGUCAUUUGCUCAGGUUCACGUCAAAUUGAAUUGAUAUUGCCUACCUGGAAACACUGUAUUUCAUUGUUUUAAUGAUUUUAUAGUUGUUUUAUUUGACAGUGUUUCUAUAGAAAUCUCCCUGGAAAUGUAUUAUUGACCACUGUGAAAGUAUACUUACUUAUAGUGUACCUGUAAAAUGAAAGAAAGUAAAUAACCACA